rnacentral:misc_RNA from 1 species
AAAAAAAAAAAAUAAAAAAUGAAGGCAGUGGUACAGGAAACGAAGAAUGGGAAAGUUACCAUCAAAACAGAGUGCAGAGCAAACGAAGAAGGACGAAAACACAUAGAAAAACUGGAUCUGGAUACUAAAAACGUCGAUACUGUCAAGUAUGUCGAAAAAAAGUUGACGGAAAAAGGGGUGCAGAGGUUGGAACGGCAUCCAUCGGAUGGGCUGCCGUUAAAGCAUGAUCCGAAGAAAGGACACGGAGGUAAGUAUACAUGGGAAGGACCUGAUAAGUAUAAUGCGGAUGAGAGAGAUCUGAAUCAUAAUGUGAAUGAAGAAGCAGAGGAUGAUGAAGGAGGAGUUAUUGUGGGUGAAAUUGAAGUAGCAAAAUUGGCUGAAGAAGGUGUUGCUAGAAUUGAAAUUGAUCCUAAUUUGAAAAUUGAUUAAUCAUUUCUUACCUCUUGUGAUUUUAGGGGGAAAAAUAAUUGUUGAAUUUGUGUGAUUUGUGUUUGUUAAUUACUUGUAUGUGAUGGAAUAAUA